UCUCUCUAUCUCGUCGGUGGAAGUUGUUUUAUGUAGGUGGAUAGUAGGGGAAUUAAACGUCGUUGUUUGUCGAACACAUUCCUCUUUGGUUCCGAUCGAUACCGCAGGUUUUGAGUCGAGAAUGAAAUGGACGAGCAACGUAAGAAGAAGAAGAAGGAACACCGAAGAGUCCAACUACGACCAUCUUUUGAUCGACUACUAAUGUGUCCUGAAGGUGGAUAAGGUGGAAGGAUGCCGCCGUAUGGUGGUGGUCGUGGUGCUGGGAUCCGGCCUCAAACGUAGCAUACUACCUCCCCAAAUGUUAAUAUGUGUAUGUAUAUGUAUAGACUUUUUAUUACAGACUCAUAUAUAUAGCCCAUGCUGGUUUGUAUAUGUAUAUUUGAGGAUGAUGUUUAUUUGUUAUACAUGAUGUACCCAUACAGUUGUGUACAUAACAUGGACGAUACAUACAUGGAUGUACAAUUCUUUUGUAUACAUGAAGAGGU
rnacentral:rRNA from 1 species